rnacentral:rRNA from 1 species
UACGUAGGGUGCGAGCGUUGUCCGGAAUUAUUGGGCGUAAAGAGCUCGUAGGCGGUGUGUCGCGUCGGCCGUGAAAACCUGGGGCUCAACUCUGGGCGUGCGGUCGAUACGGGGCAUCACUGGAGUUCGGCAGGGGAGACUGGAAUUCCUGGUGUAGCGGUGAAAUGCGCAGAUAUCAGGAGGAACACCCGGUGGCGAAGGCGGGGUCUCUGGGACGGUACUGACGCUGGAGACGGCGA